UACCAGCUCUCCGAGUGGUAGGGAUGAUUAUUGGGCUUAAAGCGUCCGUAGCCGGCUUAGCAAGUCUCCUGUUAAAUUCAGCGACCUAAUCGUUGAGCCGCGGGAGAUACUAACUAGGCUAGGAGGCGGGAGAGGUUGACGGUACUUCUGGGGUAGGGGUGAAAUCCUAUAAUCCCGGGAGGACCACCAGUGGCGAAGGCUGUCGACUAGAACGCGCUCGACGGUGAGGGACGAAAGCUGGGGUAGCGAACCGGAUUAGAUACCCGGGUAGUCCCAGCUGUAAACGAUGCGGGCUAGGUGUUGGGAUGGCUACGUGCCAUUUCAGUGCCGCAGGGAAGCCAUUAAGCCCGCCGCCUGGGGAGUACGGCCGCAAGGCUGAAACUUAAAGGAAUUGGCGGGGGAGCACCAUAAGGCGUGAAGCUUGCGGUUC
rnacentral:rRNA from 1 species